rnacentral:rRNA from 1 species
AGAACGAACGUUGGCGGCAUGCCUAACACAUGCAAGUCGAACGAAGGCUUCGGCCUUAGUGGCGCACGGGUGCGUAACGCGUGGGAAUCUGCCCCUUGGUUCGGAAUAACAGUUAGAAAUGACUGCUAAUACCGGAUGAUGACUUCGGUCCAAAGAUUUAUCGCCGAGGGAUGAGCCCGCGUAGGAUUAGGUAGUUGGUGGGGUAAAGGCCUACCAAGCCGACGAUCCUUAGCUGGUCUGAGAGGAUGAUCAGCCACACUGGGACUGAGACACGGCCCAGACUCCUACGGGAGGCAGCAGUGGGGAAUAUUGGACAAUGGGGGAAACCCUGAUCCAGCAAUGCCGCGUGAGUGAUGAAGGCCUUAGGGUUGUAAAGCUCUUUUACCAGGGAUGAUAAUGACAGUACCUGGAGAAUAAGCUCCGGCUAACUCCGUGCCAGCAGCCGCGGUAAUACGGAGGGAGCUAGCGUUGUUCGGAAUUACUGGGCGUAAAGCGCACGUAGGCGGCUACUCAAGUCAGAGGUGAAAGCCCGGGGCUGAACCCCGGAACUGCCUUUGAAACUAAGUAGCUAGAAUAUUGGAGAGGCGAGUGGAAUUCCGAGUGUAGAGGUGAAAUUCGUAGAUAUUCGGAAGAACACCAGUGGCGAAGGCGACUCGCUGGACAGUUAUUGACGCCUGAGGUGUCGAAAGCGUGGGGGACAAACAGGAUUAGAUACCCUGGCUGGUCCACGCCGUAAACGAUGAUAACUAGCUGUCCGGGCACUUGGUGUCUGGGUGGCGCAGCUAACGCAUUAAGUUAUCCGCCUGGGGAGUACGGUCGCAAGAUUAAAACUCAAAGGAAUUGACGGGGGCCUGCACAAGCGGUGGAGCAUGUGGUUUAAUUCGAAGCAACGCGCAGAACCUUACCAGCGUUUGACAUCCCGCGCUAACCCAAGAGAUUGGGUGUUCCCUUCGGGGGCGCGGUUGACAGGUGCUGCAUGGCU